AAACAACCGGGAUUGCUUAGUAACGGCGAGUGAAGCGGCAAAAGCUCAAAUUUGAAAUCUGGCGUCUUCGACGUCCGAGUUGUAAUUUGAAGAAGGCGACUUUGUAGCUGGUCCUUGUCUAUGUUCCUUGGAACAGGACGUCAUAGAGGGUGAGAAUCCCGUGUGGCGAGGAUCCCAGUUAUUUGUAAAGUGCUUUCGACGAGUCGAGUUGUUUGGGAAUGCAGCUCUAAGUGGGUGGUAAAUUCCAUCUAAAGCUAAAUAUUGGCGAGAGACCGAUAGCGAACAAGUACAGUGAUGGAAAGAUGAAAAGAACUUUGAAAAGAGAGUGAAAAAGUACGUGAAAUUGUUGAAAGGGAAGGGCAUUUGAUCAGACAUGGCGUUUGCUUCGGCUUUCGCUGGGCCAGCAUCAGUUUUAGCGGUUGGAUAAAUCCUCGGGAAUGUGGCUCUGCUUCGGUAGAGUGUUAUAGCCCGUGGGAAUACAGCCAGCUGGGACUGAGGAUUGCGACUUUUGUCAAGGAUGCUGGCGUAAUGGUUAAAUGCCGCCCGUCUUGAAACACGGACCAAGGAGUCUAACGUCUAUGCGAGUGUUUGGGUGUAAAACCCGUACGCGUAAUGAAAGUGAACGUAGGUGAGGGCCCGCAAGGGUGCAUCAUCGACCGAUCCUGAUGUCUUCGGCAUGGAU
rnacentral:rRNA from 1 species